GUUCAAGAUCAUGAGCCUCAAGGUGAAAGGACCGAUGGACUAUGUACCUGAGCUGUUUGAAGAGCAAAAGGAUCAAGUAGCCGUAGAGCAAAUUCUGCGGGUUAUCUUUCUCGAUGUGGAACGUCCUAGUCCAACUUUGGAAAAAUUGAAGCGCCAGCUGGCGGAGGCAGACGCUGCUCUUGAGGAACGCAAGAAGCCUGUGGAAGAUACAGGUCCAAAGAUUAUUGGUGAAGGGCUUGUCAUAGAUGAAUGGAAGGAAAGAAGAGAGAGGUACCUAGCUCGGCAGCAAGUUGAAGGCGGUGUGGAAUCUGUAUAACUUGCAGGUAUUGUUUCGACAUCUUAGCUUUGGCUGGAAAAGAUACCAGCCUUAUUGUUGUGUGUAAUUGGUUGUUCUAUUAUGUCACUAAACACAUUAGUGAACAUUCACAAGAGAGAAUUUCAAUGUCCCAAUCACAGUUACUUGGUAUAACCUCAAA
rnacentral:misc_RNA from 1 species